rnacentral:rRNA from 1 species
GACGAACGCUGGCGGCGUGCCUAAUACAUGCAAGUCGAACGCAGUGGGGACGGGUGAGUAACACGUGGGUAACCUCCCAUCAGAGGGGAUAACACUUGGAAAAAGGUGCUAACACGAUACUGAUGGAUGGACCCGCGGUGCAUUAGCUAGUUGGUGGGGUACCGGCUCACCAAGGCCACGAUGCAUAGCCGACCUGAGAGUGGGAUCGGCCACACUGGGACUUAGACACGGCCCAGACUCCUACGUGCGGCGGCAGUAGGGAAUCUUCGGCAAGGGACGAAAGUCUGACCGAGCAACGCCGCGUGAUUGAAGAAGGUUUUCUGAUCGUAAAACUCUGUUGUUAGAGAAGCGGUAUCUAACCAGAAAGCCACGGCUAACUACGUGCCAGCAGCCGCGGUAAUAC